UACGAAGGGGGCUAGCGUUGCUCGGAAUUACUGGGCGUAAAGGGCGCGUAGGCGGACAGUUUAGUCAGAGGUGAAAGCCCAGGGCUCAACCUUGGAAUUGCCUUUGAUACUGGCUGUCUUGAGUCCGGGAGAGGUGAGUGGAAUGCCGAGUGUAGAGGUGAAAUUCGUAGAUAUUCGGCGGAACACCAGUGGCGAAGGCGACUCACUGGCCCGAUACUGACGCUGAGGCGCGAAAGCGUGGGGAGCAAACAGGG
rnacentral:rRNA from 1 species